UUUAGCAUUGGCUUUACGUUCCAUAAUACUGUUGCCCACCGCAUGCAAUAGAUGCGUUUUACCCAGACCCGUUCCCCCAUA
rfam:Proteus mirabilis strain HI4320, complete genome